rnacentral:ncRNA from 1 species
CACGAUAAAGGUAAACCUUGAGCGAUCAGGGGGCGCAAAGUAAAGGGUCUUUACAAGCCGCUUAAACGGUUUAAACAGUUUAAACCGUUUACUGAAAGACAGCCUUACUGCCGAAG